GACGAACGCUGGCGGCGUGCUUAACACAUGCAAGUCGAACGGAAAGGCCCUGCUUUUGUGGGGUGCUCGAGUGGCGAACGGGUGAGUAACACGUGAGUAACCUGCCCUUGCCUUUGGGAUAACUUCAGGAAACUGGGGCUAAUACCGGAUAGGAGCUCCUGCUGCAGGGUGGGGGUUGGAAAGUUUCGGCGGUUGGGGAUGGACUCGCGGCUUAUCAGCUUGUUGGUGGGGUAGUGGCUUACCAAGGCUUUGACGGGUAGCCGGCCUGAGAGGGUGACCGGCCACAUUGGGACUGAGAUACGGCCCAGACGCCUACGGGAGGCAGCAGUGGGGAAUAGUGCACAAUGGGCGGCAGCCUGAUGCAGCAACGCCGCGUGCUGGAUGACGGCCUUCGGGGUGGAAACCGCUUUCGCCUGUGACGAAGCGUGAGUGACGGUAAUGGGUAAAGAAGCACCGGCUAACUACGUG
rnacentral:rRNA from 1 species